rnacentral:lncRNA from 1 species
GGAGGACGCUGAGGAGGCGCCGAGCCGCGCAGCGCUGCGGGGGAGGCGCCCGCGCCGACGCGGGGCCCAUGGCCAGGACCACCAGCCAGCUG